rnacentral:rRNA from 1 species
AUUGAACGCUGGCGGCAGGCCUAACACAUGCAAGUCGAGCGGAUGAAGGGAGCUUGCUCCUGGAUUCAGCGGCGGACGGGUGAGUAAUGCCUAGGAAUCUGCCUGGUAGUGGGGGAUAACGUCCGGAAACGGGCGCUAAUACCGCAUACGUCCUGAGGGAGAAAGUGGGGGAUCUUCGGACCUCACGCUAUCAGAUGAGCCUAGGUCGGAUUAGCUAGUUGGUGGGGUAAAGGCCUACCAAGGCGACGAUCCGUAACUGGUCUGAGAGGAUGAUCAGUCACACUGGAACUGAGACACGGUCCAGACUCCUACGGGAGGCAGCAGUGGGGAAUAUUGGACAAUGGGCGAAAGCUUGAUCCAGCCAUGCCGCGUGUGUGAAGAAGGUCUUCGGAUUGUAAAGCACUUUAAGUUGGGAGGAAGGGCAGUAAGUUAAUACCUUGCUGUUUUAACGUUACCAACAGAAUAAGCACCGGCUAACUUCGUG